UGCGCAGGCGGACUUGUAAGUCAGUGGUGAAAUCUCACAGCUUAACUGUGAAACUGCCUCUGGGACUGCAAGUCUUGAAUCAGCGAGAGAGUCGUGGAAUUCCGAGUGUAGCAGUGAAAUGUGUAGAUAUUCGGAAGAACACCAGUGGCGAAGGCAGCGACUUGGCGCUCGAUUGACGCUCAGGCACGAAAGCAUGGGGAUCAAACA
rnacentral:rRNA from 1 species